CUACGGGAGCACCAGUGAGGAAUAUUGCACAAUGGGGGGAACCCUGAUGCAGCAACGCCGCGUGGAGGAUGACGCAUUUCGGUGUGUAAACUCCUUUUAUAUGUCAAGAAAAUGACGGUAGCAUAUGAAUAAGCACCGGCUAACUACGUGCCAGCAGCCGCGGUAAUACGGAGGGUGCAAGCGUUACUCGGAAUCACUGGGCGUAAAGGACGCGUAGGCGGGUUGGAAAGUCAGGUGUGAAAUCCUACAGCUUAACCGUAGAACUGCACUUGAAACUUCUAAUCUAGAGUAUGGGAGGGGGAGAUGGAAUUAGUGGUGUAGGGGUAAAAUCCGUAGAUAUCACUAGGAAUACCUAAAGCGAAGGCGAUCUCCUGGAACAUUACUGACGCUAAGGCGUGAAAGCGUGGGGAGCAAACAGGAUUAGAUACCCGCGUAGUC
rnacentral:rRNA from 1 species